rnacentral:rRNA from 1 species
CCUACGGGGGGCAGCAGUGGGGAAUAUUGCGCAAUGGGCGAAAGCCUGACGCAGCGACGCCGCGUGAGGGAUGAAGGUCUUCGGAUCGUAAACCUCUGUCAGCAGGGAAGAACGGUCACUGUGCUAAUCAGCAGUGAAUUGACGGUACCUGCAAAGGAAGCACCGGCUAACUCCGUGCCAGCAGCCGCGGUAAUACGGAGGGUGCGAGCGUUAAUCGGAAUUACUGGGCGUAAAGCGCUCGUAGGCGGUAUGUCAAGUCAAGGGUGAAAUCCCCGCGCUCAACGUGGGAACUGCCUCUGAAACUGGCAAACUGGAGUGUGUGAGAGGAGAGUGGAAUUCCAGGUGUAGGAGUGAAAGCCGUAGAUAUCUGGAGGAACAUCAGUGGCGAAGGCGACUAUCUGGCACAUAACUGACGCUGAGGAGCGAAAGCGUGGGUAGCAAACAGGAUUAGAUACCCGGGUAGUC